CUCAUCCUUAGGUCCAGGGGUUUGCUUCUGAAGCUGGUGGUUCCUUACUGUGGCCAGCUUUAGUCUUAGUGGCCUAGCGUGGGGCCUGAAAUUGUCAAAUGAAUGAAUGCCUCAUCCUCUUGCUGGUGACUGUAAGACAUCCGUCUGCCUCUGCUCUUCUGUCUGUUAAGAAGCUUUCUUGCCAGUGCCUGAGGUUCAAGCCUGAUCCUUUGUCUCCGUAGCGUGGGAUGGAAUGGGAGCUUCUCAGAAAACCAGGAGACCUGCUCCCCACAAUGCUGUCUAAUGGAGCCAAGCGUCUGGUCUCCUGACGGCAGCAGCAGGAGCAGCAGCAGCGGCAUGAAAUCCCAUCCCUUCCCUCCAGGGCCAGAACCGGUCCCUGUGCUCUGCCUUAUGUGAGGCCUCUGAAAUCAGCGUUAGGAUUGAUAGUGCAGGCAGAGGUUUGCGUUUAAGAAGUGGAAGCUACUCCUUGGCUCUGUACUUGGGGUGGAUGUGAUAGCCCUGGG
rnacentral:lncRNA from 10 species